AUAAUUAUUUGGACAUGGUCAAUGGGUGAUCAAGAAGUUCCAUGGCCUAGGCCGGUAAUCUCCAUUAAACCUUGCAUGGUGCCUACGUCGAUCGAAGUGGUCAAGCUUUAAGUCAUAAUUUUUGGAAAUAGGGCCCUACGUUUAUGGACCCCCAUA